rnacentral:rRNA from 1 species
UACAGAGGGUGCAAGCGUUGUCCGAAGUUAUUGGGCGUAAAGGGCGCGUAGGCGGCCAUGCGUGUCUUCCGUGAAAUCCCUCGGCUUAACUGAGGACGUGCGGAAGAAACUGCAAGGCUUGAGUCCGGGAGAGGGGGGUGGAAUUCCCAGUGUAGCGGUGAAAUGCGUAGAUAUUGGGAGGAACACCGGUGGCGAAGGCGGCCCCCUGGACCGGUACUGACGCUGAGGCGCGAAAGCGUGGGUAGCAAACGGG